rnacentral:tRNA from 1 species
GUCUCUGUAGCGCAAUGGAUAGCGCGUUGGACUUCUAAUCCAAAGGUGGUAGGUUCGAAACCCACUUGGGAUG